rnacentral:rRNA from 1 species
AUCUGCCCUGUACUUUGGGAUAAGCCUGGGAAACUGGGUCUAAUACCGGAUAUGACCGGGCCUCGCAUGGGGUUUGGUGGAAAGCUCCGGCGGUACAGGAUGAGCCCGCGGCCUAUCAGCUUGUUGGUGGGGUAAUGGCCUACCAAGGCGACGACGGGUAGCCGGCCUGAGAGGGUGACCGGCCACACUGGGACUGAGACACGGCCCAGACUCCUACGGGAGGCAGCAGUGGGGAAUAUUGCACAAUGGGCGCAAGCCUGAUGCAGCGACGCCGCGUGAGGGAUGACGGCCUUCGGGUUGUAAACCUCUUUCGCCAGGGACGAAGCGCAAGUGACGGUACCUGGAUAAGAAGCACCGGCUAACUACGUGCCAGCAGCCGCGGUAAUACGUAGGGUGCGAGCGUUGUCCGGAAUUAUUGGGCGUAAAGAGCUCGUAGGCGGUUUGUCGCGUCGUUCGUGAAAACUCCACGCUUAACGUGGAGCGUGCGGGCGAUACGGGCAGACUUGAGUUCGGUAGGGGAGACUGGAAUUCCUGGUGUAGCGGUGAAAUGCGCAGAUAUCAGGAGGAACACCGGUGGCGAAGGCGGGUCUCUGGGCCGAUACUGACGCUGAGGAGCGAAAGCGUGGGGAGCGAACAGGAUUAGAUACCCUGGUAGUCCACGCUGUAAACGUUGGGCGCUAGGUGUGGGCGACAUCCACGUUGUCCGUGCCGUAGCUAACGCAUUAAGCGCCCCGCCUGGGGAGUACGGCCGCAAGGCUAA